rnacentral:rRNA from 1 species
UCUUAUGAAGUUAGCGGCGGACGGGUGAGUAACACGUGGGUAACCUGCCCAUAAGACUGGGAUAACUCCGGGAAACCGGGGCUAAUACCGGAUAACAUUUUGAACCGCAUGGUUCGAAAUUGAAAGGCGGCUUCGGCUGUCACUUAUGGAUGGACCCGCGUCGCAUUAGCUAGUUGGUGAGGUAACGGCUCACCAAGGCAACGAUGCGUAGCCGACCUGAGAGGGUGAUCGGCCACACUGGGACUGAGACACGGCCCAGACUCCUACGGGAGGCAGCAGUAGGGAAUCUUCCGCAAUGGACGAAAGUCUGACGGAGCAACGCCGCGUGAGUGAUGAAGGCUUUCGGGUCGUAAAACUCUGUUGUUAGGGAAGAACAAGUGCUAGUUGAAUAAGCUGGCACCUUGACGGUACCUAACCAGAAAGCCACGGCUAACUACGUGCCAGCGCGCG